GCAGGGGCUCAGGGAUCUGUAUCAGCCCUGUGUGCAGUGAUCACUAUGGUGUCCCACAGCUGCUGGCUGCCUCUACUCAUGCUCUGGCUUCCCGGUUCCUAUGGGCAGAUUGUGCUGACUCAGUCCCCAGAUUAUGUCUCUGUGUCACCGGGAGAAACUGUCACCUUCACAUGUAAAGCCAGUAGCGGUGUUACAAUUGGCUCUACCAGCUAUUUAGCCUGGUACCAACAGAAAUCAGGGCAGGCACCAAAGCUGCUGAUCUAUUCGGCAAGUACCCGACACACAGGGACCCCAGAGCGGAUCAGCGGCAGCGGUUCUGGAACUGAUUUCACCCUUACAAUCAGCAGAAUGGAAGCAGAAGAUGCAGGAGAUUAUUACUGUCAGCAGGGUUAUGAUACCCCACUCACACAGUGAUACAGAGCUGAACAAAAACCCUUAUGAAGACAAAUACAGAAAGGGAAAUAAGCAGCCGACAGUAUUUCCGGGGUUCAUGCAAUGGAAGCAGUGACCGUGACCUGAUAUAGAGCAGCCCCCCCUCUGUGCAAGGGCCCCGCAGUGUCACAGAAAAGCCCAGAAAGGAAAUAAAAACCACAGAAAUAUAAAUAGUGACACCUUUAGUUCCUGUGUAGCUCAGACUCUUACAUGAACUCUCCCAUCGUUGUAUCCAGCAACCCAGUAUAACCAGUACAGCCCCUUAACUCACAGCG